GGAAGGGUCGCAUAGUGGUCUAUUGCACUGGUUUCGAAAACCAGCGCCCGCAAGGGCAUCGUGAGUUCAAAUCUCACCCCUUCCG
rnacentral:tRNA from 1 species